AAACCUGAGGAACCCAAAAGAUCGAAUGGGGAGAUUCAUCGUCAGCGACACUGGCACGCGGCCGACUCGCGAUGCGCCGGGGACCCCGCGAGGGCGGUGCACGCGUUGACCGCGUUUUCUCGUCCGGUGGCGUCGGCGUGUACUUCUCCCCUGGUAGGACGUCGCGACCCGUUGGGUGCCGACCUAAGGCCCGGGCGGAUCACGUUCGUCGCGACGCCCAAAGGCGUCGCGCGACGAUCGCCCGGUCGCCAGGUCGGCCGCCCGGCGGUACUCGCACGGUAUCGGGCCGCAGUAAGCGACGCUGCGUCGGGCCCUCCGCAAGCGCCAGUCGGUUUCUCGGAUGUACGGGCCUAGCGCCGUCGCCGAGGCCGAUCGGCUGUUGGCAGGCGAUGUUCUUCGACCGGCCAAGAGAUACCGGUCGGCGACGCUACUGCUUUGGGUAAUCUCAGGACCCGUCUUGAAACACGGACCAAGGAGUCUAACAUGUGCGCGAGUCAUUGGGACUUGGUAUGCCUAAAGGCGAAAUGAAAGUGAAGGUCGGCCCUCGCGCUGUCCGAGGGAGGAUGGGCCGCGUCUAGAUGCGGCUCCGCACUCCCGGGGCAUCUCAAUCUCAU
rnacentral:rRNA from 1 species